GCCAGGCAUGGUGGCGGGUGCCUGUAAUCCCAGCUACUUGGGAGGCUGAGGCAGGAGAAUUGCUUGAACCCGGGAGACAGAGGUUGCAGUGAGCCAAGAUUGCGCCAUUGCACUCCAGCCUGGGCGACAGAGCAAGACUCUGUCUCAA
rnacentral:SRP_RNA from 1 species